rnacentral:rRNA from 1 species
UACGUAGGUGGCAAGCGUUGUCCGGAUUUACUGGGCGUAAAGAGCGCGCAGGCGGUCGUUCAAGUCGCGUGUGAAAGCCCCCGGCUCAACUGGGGAGGGUCACGCGAUACUGAUCGACUCGAAGGCAGGAGAGGGAAGUGGAAUUCCCAGUGUAGUGGUGAAAUGCGUAGAUAUCGGGAGGAACACCAGUGGCGAAGGCGACUUCCUGGCCUGUUCUUGACGCUGAGGCGCGAAAGCUAGGGGAGCAAACGGG